rnacentral:rRNA from 1 species
UGGUAUGGCUGUACCACCUGAACAUGCUGGUUCUUGUCUGACCCUGGAAGCUAAUCAGGUUCAGCCUGGUUACUAUUUGGAUGGGAGCCCAUUUGGGAAUACCAGGUGCUGUAGGCU